UACGAAGGGUGCGAGCGUUGUUCGGAAUUAUUGGGCGUAAAGGGCGCGUAGGCGGCCUUCUAAGUCAGACGUGAAAUCCCCAGGCUUAACUUGGGAACUGCGUCUGAUACUGGGAGGCUUGAGUGCGGGAGAGGGAUGUGGAAUUCCAGGUGUAGCGGUGAAAUGCGUAGAUAUCUGGAGGAACACCGGUGGCGAAGGCAGGUCUCUGGGCCACUACUGACGCUGAGAAGCGAAAGCAUGGGGAGCGAACAGG
rnacentral:rRNA from 1 species